CCCAGUGUCGCCAGUCGGCUCGCUCCUUCUGCCCGGCUGCUUGGGGUCCCUCGGCUGGGCCUCGUGUUCCGCGUGGUGCCCGUGGUGGGUCGCACCUCCAAUAGUAUGCCGCUCUCACCUGUGCCCAUCACCACAGGUGGCAGUAUUGACUUCUCCUGACCUCAGGGAAUCUCAGAAUGAUGGCUCACAGAGGGUUUCCGUGGUUAUCUACUUCUGACUCUUGAAAGCUUUCAAGAAAUUGGACCUGACUGGUUCGGUGACUUGUCAAGGGACACCCAAUUUGUGACAAUCAGGAGGAAAACACAGUGCCGUUCACUUUCUCACAGGUGAAUCUCCUUGGCAAGGCUGCUGGCAGCUCUGGAGCUAACAGUGUAACUGGCCUGUGAUGUUACAUCCCCAAAGUCCUUAAUCCAACUGACAGCAGCAACUUCCUCUUAAUUAAAUGAAGAACUAAUAGUGGAGGAUUUAACCCAUUUUGCAGCUGUGAGUCACAGAAAUACAAACAAGUGUAAAACUCAUGAAAACAAAAUGAGCAGAAACUACAGAGAGUUCCUACGUACUUCCUGCCCGGCCACACAUACAGCCUUCUGGACUAUGAACAUUCUGCAACAGAGCCGUACAUUUGAAACACUCUGUGAACCUGUAUUGAUAUCUCAUUAUUGCCCCAAAUCCAUAGUUUAUAUUAGAGUUCACUCUUGGUGUUACACAGUCUAUGGGUUUUAAUGAUGUAUCCACCAUUAUACUAUCAUACAGAAUAGUUUCAUUGCCUAAAAAAAUCCCGUGUCCACUGCCUGUUCAUCUGUACCUCCCUUCUAAUCCCUGGUAACCACUGAUUUUUUUUUUUUACUGUCCCCAUAGUUUUGCCUUUCUUAGAAUGUCAUUAUAGUUUAAAUCAUACAGUAUGUAGCAUUUUCAGAUUGAUAUUUUUGACUUGGUAAUAUGCAUUUAAGGUUUUCCAUGUGUCUGUAUGGUUUGAUAGCACAUUCCUUUUUAGUACUGAAUAAUGUUCUAUUCUCUGAAUGUCCCCCAGUUUAUUUACCCAAUCUCCUACUGAAGGUCAUCUUGGUUAUUUCCAAGUUCUGGAAAUCAUAAAUAAAGAUGCUAUAAAUAUC